rnacentral:rRNA from 1 species
UACAGAGGGGGCAAGCGUUGUUCGGAAUUACUGGGCGUAAAGGGCGCGUAGGCGGCCUGUUAAGUCGAACGUGAAAUCCCCGGGCUCAACCGGGGAACUGCAUCCGAUACUGGCGGGCUUGAAUCCGGGAGAGGGAUGUGGAAUUCCAGGUGUAGCGGUGAAAUGCGUAGAUAUCUGGAGGAACACCGGUGGCGAAGGCGGCAUCCUGGACCGGUAUUGACGCUGAGGCGCGAAAGCUAGGGGAGCAAACGGG